rnacentral:rRNA from 1 species
CUAUAAUGCAGUCGAGCGGACAGAUGGGAGCUUGCUCCCUGAUGUUAGCGGCGGACGGGUGAGUAACACGUGGGUAACCUGCCUGUAAGACUGGGAUAACUCCGGGAAACCGGGGCUAAUACCGGAUGGUUGUUUGAACCGCAUGGUUCAAACAUAAAAGGUGGCUUCGGCUACCACUUACAGAUGGACCCGCGGCGCAUUAGCUAGUUGGUGAGGUAACGGCUCACCAAGGCAACGAUGCGUAGCCGACCUGAGAGGGUGAUCGGCCACACUGGGACUGAGACACGGCCCAGACUCCUACGGGAGGCAGCAGUAGGGAAUCUUCCGCAAUGGACGAAAGUCUGACGGAGCAACGCCGCGUGAGUGAUGAAGGUUUUCGGAUCGUAAAGCUCUGUUGUUAGGGAAGAACAAGUACCGUUCGAAUAGGGCGGUACCUUGACGGUACCUAACCAGAAAGCCACGGCUAACUACGUGCCAGCAGCGGCGGUAAUAAAA